UCUCUGAAAACUGGAGUUACAGGGGGGGGGGUGAACUACCAGAUGUGGGCACCAGGCAAUGAAUCCAGGUCCUCUGCAAGAAGCGCUGUGUGCCUUUUGCCCCUGAGCAUCUCCUGAACCCCACAUACCAUUUUAUAAAUCACAGUGGACUUAGAGUAGAAAAUAAUGUUGACAAUCAAACUUUAAAAGAAAAUAGAGAGUCUGGAGAAAUGAUCCAUCAGGUAAGAGCUCUAUCUCUUUCAGAGGACCCAGGUACAAUUCCCACCACCCACAUGGGAACUGUCUGUAACUUCAGUUCCAAGGAAUACAAUAUUUUCUUCUGACCUAAGAGGAUGUAGUACACACACAGUGCAGGUACACAAACAUAUGCAGGCAAAACCGUCAUACACAGAAAUAAAUGCAUCUUUGUAUUAAUAAACGAAAGUAGAACUGAAGAUGAAACAGUGGUAGAAAGCUUACCCAACAUGUUCAAAGCGUUAUGUUAGAUUCCCAGUAGCAGCAUAGUAAUCUCUCGAGUCUAGCAUUGGGGAGGCAGAAGCAGGCGAAUCUCUGUGAGUUCGAGGCAAGCCAGAGGGACAUAGUGAGACACUCUCAAAAACCAAACCAAACCAAAUUCUCUGUUGGACACGCCCCAAGAGGCUAAGUGUUGGGGGCUGUGGACCCCCAGACCCUAAAUUUCCUGUAAACAUCUUGCUUGCAGCUGCUCUUGAGCAAACCAACCUGUUUUCCUGUGUUUACAGCUGCUCUGAGCACAAGACGGGAGAGUGGUUUCUGGUGGCUGCAGCUGAAAGACCCUGAGAGCUGGGGCAUGGCCAGAGCACUAUAUAAGCUGCCCCUGAACACAAUAAGAAAAUGGGAACCUGUGGAGUCAUUCAAGGUUAAUGUGAUUUGAUGCACCAAGAUCCCCUGAAGGUUGCUGUGAAUACCCCCAAAGAAACUUCACCCAAUAAACAGCAGGAAGUAGUUUAGAGAACGACACCCAAAUUUCCCCAAAUUGUUUACUGGAGGUUGUGGGACUGAGGGGGAUGUUGCGGCAGUGCCAGGAGCAUCGGCCAUUGCAACAACAAGUGCUGGAACUGAGACAAGCCAGAGCCGCUCAGACCCCACUGGGCUGCCCAUCUAUGUGCAACCUAUGGAGUGGGCAGUGGCAGGGUGAGGAGAAGGUGGUGCCAGUUCUCAGCUCUGUGCACCCAAGAGUCUGUGGCACAAGCGGCAGGCUCUCCUACUGGACCUAAGGAACCUGCGCAGUAGCUGCAGAAGGUCCCCAAUCCUGCCUGCCACCCCGGCUGGUUGUGGUGGCACAUGCCGGUAGGAUUUACUGAAGGAGGUAGAGGCAAGAGGAUCUGGAGUUCGAGGACAACUGCUGAGCCAUCCCGGUCGAUGUAGGCUCAUAUUUCUACGUGGUAUGACGACCAGAAUCCCAGGCCACAGUUUGCACCUGUCACACAGGAGGUGGUCACCUAGCCUGUCGCCAUCCCUAUCAAAGGGUCAGAAGGUUGUGCUGUUCCUUCUUUGUAAUUUGGAGAAUGCCUGAAAAGAGAUGUUAAUUCAGCCUAUGUGACAGAGCUGGUGUACAGAGCAAGAAGAUAGGAAGAAGUGACAGAGAUGGCAUAGAAAGGUGUGGUCAAAGCUGUGGAUGUGACCACAACCAUUUACCUGGUUAUCUAGGAAACAAAAUGCUAGUGAACUUCCCCUUCGGUUUAUGUUUUGGUAUAUAAGGCUGUUUGGAGAAUAAACACAGAGGAAUUUUCAGGAUGUGAA